UACGUAGGGUGCGAGCGUUAAUCGGAAUUACUGGGCGUAAAGCGUGCGUAGGCGGUUCGUUAAGUGCGUCGUGAAAGCCCCGGGCUCAACCUGGGAAUGGCGAUGGAAACUGGCGGGCUGGAGUAUGGCAGAGGGGGGUGGAAUUCCGCGUGUAGCAGUGAAAUGCGUAGGGAUGCGGAGGAACACCGAUGGCGAAGGCAGCCCCCUGGGCCAAUACUGACGCUCAGGCACGAAAGCGUGGGGAGCAAACAGG
rnacentral:rRNA from 1 species